rnacentral:hammerhead_ribozyme from 1 species
ACCCAGCCGACGAAUCCCAAGUAGAACGAAACGCGCGUCCUGGAU